AACUUCCCAUUUGAGUGGGACCAAGAAGAGCAUACAAAGCUGAAAUGUUCUCCAGAAGUUGAUUUCCAAUGGGGAUAAAGGAGUUAUCCAAAGCCCCCUUCACAAGAAAUGCUAGCUUUCAGGAAUAAUCAAUCAAGCACACCUUUGAGCAAAUUUCUGGAUCAGCACAGAAAACUCUCUCCUUUGUCAGAUUGAAAACCUGUAGCAGGGGGACAGCCAAGAUGGCCGAAUAGGAACAGCUCUGGUCUACAGCUUCCAUCAAGCUACCAAUGACUUUCUUCACAGAAUUGGAAAAAACUACUUUAAAGUUCAUAUGGCACCAAAAAAGAUCCCGCAUUGCCAAGUCAAUCCUAAGCCAAAAGAACAAAGCUGGAGGCAUCACACUACCUGACUUCAAACUAUACUACAAGGCUACAGUAACCAAAACAGCAUGGUACUGCUACCAAAACAGAGAUAUAGAUCAAUGGAACAGAACAGAGCCCUCAGAAAUAAUGCCACAUAUCUACAACUAUCUGAUCUUUGACAAAUCUGAGAAAAACAAGCAAUGGGGAAAGGAUUCCCUAUUUAAUAAAUGGUCCUGGGAAAACUGGCUAGCCAUAUGUAGAAAGCUGAAACUGGAUCCCUUCCUUACACCUUAUACAAAAAUUAAUU
rnacentral:lncRNA from 1 species